UACGGAGGGUGCAAACGUUGCUCGGAAUCAUUGGGCGUAAAGCGCACGUAGGCGGCUGGCCAAGUUGGAUGUGAAAGGCCUCGGCUCAACCGAGGACGUGCAUCCAAAACUGGUCGGCUCGAGUGCCGGAGGGGGUGGGGGAAUUCCCGGUGUAGAGGUGAAAUUCGUAGAUAUCGGGAGGAACACCAGUGGCGAAGGCGCCCACCUGGCCGGUAACUGACGCUGAGGUGCGAAAGCGUGGGGAGCAAACAGG
rnacentral:misc_RNA from 1 species